GCUCAGAACGAACGCCGGCGGCGUGCCUAACACAUGCAAGUCGAGCGAGAAAGCCCGCAAGGGUGAGUAAAGCGGCGCACGGGUGAGUAACACGUGGGUAAUCUGCCCUAGAGUCCGGAAUAACUCGCCGAAAGGCGUGCUAAUGCCGGAUGAGACCACGGGAGCCUCGGCUCCUGCGGGAAAAGGUGGCCUCUGUACACAAGCUAUCACUCUAGGAUGAGCCCGCGGCCCAUCAGCUCGUUGGCGGGGUAAUGGCCCACCAAGGCUACGACGGGUAGCUGGUCUGAGAGGACGAUCAGCCACACUGGAACUGAGACACGGUCCAGACUCCUACGGGAGGCAGCAGUGGGGAAUCUUGCGCAAUGGGCGAAAGCCUGACGCAGCAACGCCGCGUGUGUGAUGAAGGUCUUCGGAUCGUAAAGCACUCUCGCGAGGGACGAAUAAGGGGCGGGCUAACAUCCCGUUCCGAUGACGGUACCUCGAGAGGAAGCACCGGCUAACUCUGUGCCAGCAGCCGCGGUAAUACAGAGGGUGCAAGCGUUGUUCGGAAUUAUUGGGCGUAAAGCGCGUGUAGGCGGCCUUGCAAGUUGGGUGUGAAAGCCCUCGGCUUAACCGAGGAAGUGCGCCCAAAACUACGAGGCUUGAGUGCCGGAGAGGGUGGCGGAAUUCCCGGUGUAGAGGUGAAAUUCGUAGAUAUCGGGAGGAACACCAGUGGCGAAGGCGGCCACCUGGACGGUAACUGACGCUGAGACGCGAAAGCGUGGGGAGCAAACAGGAUUAGAUACCCUGGUAGUCCACGCUGUAAACGAUGAGCGCUAGGUGUUGUGGGUGUUGACCCCCGCAGUGCCGCAGCUAACGCAUUAAGCGCUCCGCCUGGGAAGUACGGCCGCAAGGCUAAACUAAAU
rnacentral:rRNA from 1 species